rfam:Gossypium raimondii Chr07_contig_1432, whole genome shotgun sequence.
UAUUAAAAAAUUCACUCAUUUCUAUUGUUAAAAGCGGACAUAACUAACAAAAUAAUUAAAUAGUGACAUGUGACAUUCCAUGUGUACCUCAUGUUGACGUACAUGAACUAAUUUUUAACAAUAGAAAUGAAUGAAACUUUUAAUA